rnacentral:rRNA from 1 species
AGAGUUUGAUCCUGGCUCAGGACGAACGCUGGCGGCGUGCUUAACACAUGCAAGUCGAGCGGAAAGGCCCUUCGGGGUACUCGAGCGGCGAACGGGUGAGUAACACGUGAGUAAUCUGCCCCUAGCUCUGGGAUAGCUCCGGGAAACCGGGAUUAAUACCGGAUACGACCACUACAGACAUCUGUUCUGGUGGAAAGAAUUUCGGCUAGGGAUGAGCUCGCGGCCUAUCAGCUUGUUGGUGGGGUAACGGCCUACCAAGGCGACGACGGGUAGCCGGCCUGAGAGGGCGACCGGCCACACUGGGACUGAGACACGGCCCAGACUCCUACGGGAGGCAGCAGUGGGGAAUAUUGCGCAAUGGGCGAAAGCCUGACGCAGCGACGCCGCGUGGGGGAUGAAGGCCUUCGGGUUGUAAACCCCUUUCAGCAGGGACGAAGCGAAAGUGACGGUACCUGCAGAAGAAGCGCCGGCUAACUACGUGCCAGCAGCCGCGGUAACACGUAGGGCGCAAGCGUUGUCCGGAAUUAUUGGGCGUAAAGAGCUCGUAGGCGGUCUGUUGCGUCCGCUGUGAAAACUCGGGGCUUAACCCCGAGCCUGCAGUGGAUACGGGCAGACUAGAGGUAGGUAGGGGAGAAUGGAAUUCCCGGUGUAGCGGUGAAAUGCGCAGAUAUCGGGAGGAACACCGGUGGCGAAGGCGGUUCUCUGGGCCUUACCUGACGCUGAGGAGCGAAAGCGUGGGGAGCGAACAGGAUUAGAUACCCNNGUAGUCC